GUAAAAAGAAGGAGGAUUUUUCACUUACUCAUACAGAGGCCAGUUUUUUUAAAGCCAACUAAGGUAGCAUCGGCUGUGCAGGAUUUCAAGCCUCUGCCUCAGCUGAAAAAGAAGGGGGUAGGGAAGGGAAGAUAAUAGGAGAGAAGCUGGAAGAAGAUAAGCAUCAUCUUAUUUUGCUAUGUGGUAGGAACUGCCUCUGAGAAAACAUAGCAUAGAAUUAUUUAUCUUGAACACUUGGUGCUUAAAGCAUAGGUAUUUUUCCGUC
rnacentral:lncRNA from 1 species